rnacentral:lncRNA from 1 species
AGCCGGCUAUCAUAGAGAGCACUUUCAGAACGCAACGGACGCAGGAUGGACCGGGACCGGAGCAAAUAUGGCAUCGCGAAUCUCUUAAUUGAUCGAGGCAGUUCUGACAUGGACCGGUGCCGGGAAGCAAAUGUCGCGCCAUAUCUAUCUACUUGAAUGCGACGAACGCAGAAUGAAUCGAUUCCGGGACGAAUGGCAUUGCAAAUUACUUAAUUGAUCGUGACAAUCGACAUGGAUCGGUUCCGGGGCGGAUGACAUCGCGAUAUUUAUUUGGGUCAUGAAAAGAAGUGCUGAAGGCAGAAAAGGUAGAGGUAGCAGAAGAGAAUCUUUCAGUAGAGGAAGAGGCGGCAAUAAUGGAGGUUUCAAAAGUCGGAGGUGGUAGAUUUAAUCGUUCAGGUGGAGGUCGAGGAGGAGACAGAGGAAGAUGGUAGAUUUAAAAUAUGUGUAUACUAGAAUAAAUCCUUAAAAUAUGAAUUAUAAUGAUCAAUCUUGUAAAUGACAAAGGGAUUAAAUUUUAUACAAGUUAAUUUUUCUAAAUUUUCUUUAAUGGUUUUAAUUGUAUAAUAAGUGUCAUUAUUUAUAUGUUGUGUUAUGUGUUAUACGGAUUUGACGGCAUAAGGCGCGCGUGCGUGCGUGCACAUAUCCAUAAAAAAUAUAAUAAUCAAUCCUGA